CUUCUCGUGGAGUAGUUGGAAACGCGCCUAUCUAGUGAAUAGUAGUCGUGAGUUCGAGUUUCACCGAGACAA
rfam:Aedes albopictus isolate Foshan contig2402, whole genome shotgun sequence.